rnacentral:rRNA from 1 species
AAGUCGAACGAAGCAUAGUAAUAUGCUUAGUGGCGGACGGGUGAGUAACGCGUGAACAAUCUGCCCUAUACAAAGGAAUAGCCUCGGGAAACUGGGAUUAAAACCAUAUAACACUUUUCGUUCGCAUGGAUGAGAAGUCAAUUGAUUAAGAGGUAUAGGAUGAGUUCGCGUCUGAUUAGCUAGUUGGUGAGGUAAUGGCUCACCAAGGCGACGAUCAGUAGCCGGCCUGAGAGGGUGAACGGCCACACUGGAACUGAGACACGGUCCAGACUCCUACGGGAGGCAGCAGUGGGGAAUAUUGCACAAUGGGCGAAAGCCUGAUGCAGCGACGCCGCGUGAGUGAAGAAGGUCUUCGGAUCGUAAAACUCUGUCCUUGGGGAAGAUAAUGACGGUACCCAAGGAGGAAGCCCCGGCUAACUACGUGCCAGCAGCCGCGGUAAUACGUAGGGGGCGAGCGUUGUCCGGAUUUACUGGGCGUAAAGGGUGAGUAGGCGGUUAUUUAAGUCAGAUGUAAAAGGCUAUGGCUCAACUAUAGUAAGCAUUUGAAACUGGAUAACUUGAGUGCAGGAGAGGUAAGUGGAAUUCCUAGUGUAGCGGUGAAAUGCGUAGAUAUUAGGAGGAACACCAGUGGCGAAGGCGACUUACUGGACUGUAACUGACGCUGAGUCACGAAAGCGUGGGUAGCAAACAGGAUUAGAUACCCUGGUAGUCCACGCUGUAAACGAUGAGUGCUAGGUGUUGGCUAGCGAUAGUCAGUGCCGACGUAAACACAAUAAGCACUCCGCCUGGGGAGUACGGUCGCAAGACUGAAACUCAAAGGAAUUGACGGGGACCCGCACAAGCAGCGGAGCAUGUGGUUUAAUUCGAAGCAACGCGAAGAACCUUACCAAGGUUUGACAUCCCCUUGACAGAUGCAGAGAUGUGUCCUCUCCUUCGGGAGCAAGGGAGACAGGUGGUGCAUGGUUGUCGUCAGCUCGUGUCGUGAGAUGUUGGGUUAAGUCCCGCAACGAGCGCAACCCUUAUCCUUAGUUGCCAUCAUUUCGGCUGGGCACUCUAGGGGGACUGCCGGUGACAAACCGGAGGAAGGUGGGGAUGACGUCAAGUCCUCAUGGCCUUUAUGUCCAGGGCUACACACGUACUACAAUGGCCGGUACAAAGGGCAGCAACACAGCGAUGUGAAGCCAAUCCCAUAAAGCCGGUCUCAGUCCGGAUUGGAGUCUGCAACUCGACUCCAUGAAGUUGGAAUCGCUAGUAAUCGCGGAUCAGCACGCCGCGGUGAAUACGUUCCCGGGCCU